UUUAUGGAGAGUUUGAUCCUGGCUCAGAGUGAACGCUGGCGGCGUGCCUAAUACAUGCAAGUCGAACGAUGAAGCUUCUA
rnacentral:rRNA from 1 species